GACUGAUAUCCUGAUACAGAGACUGGAAAAAGCCCACAUUGGCAGUGACAAUCAGAAUGUCAAAAUGUCUCAGAGGAUUUCUAGGAAAUCUGUGGCACUUCACGAAGAGGCUGCCCCGGGUGAGAGACCAGCCAGAGUGAAUCGUUAAUACACUUCCCAGGAAGGGGGAUUCUUCUGAAAUGCUAAUACAAUCAACUGCAAGGCAAACUUCAAGCUUCUUUUUCAGUGAUCAGAGAGGCCCUCCCAGAGCAAGGAUGCUCUCCACUGUGCAAGCUAAAGGCCCUACUUUCUCACCCAGCCUUUUCUGGGGAGGAGAAACACAUCCUCACCACAUUGCAGCUGCCCUGCGAGGGCUGCAGGUAUUGUGUGUCCCCACCAGCCAGGGCAGUUCCCAGACAGACUCUGGCUGCCUGGACCCAGGUCUGCUCCAAGGAAGCAGCACGUUUCUGGAGGAGGCUUAGCCAAGAAACCAUUACGGAGUGAGAGAGGAGUUAUCUGGAUAAAUGCGGAACUGCCCAACUCCUAGCAUUUGUUCCUGGGACCCAGGCUGUAACAUCCUCUGGAGCCAAACUGCCUCUGUUCAAACCCUUGUCCCCGCACUCCACCUCCUAGCUGUGUGGCACUGUGUGCAUUACUUAACUUUGCAUGCCUUACUUUUUCCAUUUGUA
rnacentral:lncRNA from 1 species